rnacentral:rRNA from 1 species
GACGAACGCUGGCGGCGUGCUUAACACAUGCAAGUCGAACGGAAAGGCCCUGCUGUUGUGGGCUGCUCGAUUGGCGAACGGAUGAGUAACACGUGUGUAACCUACCCUUGACUUUGGGAUAACUUCAGGAAACUGGGGCUACUACCGGAUAAUAUAUCCUGCUGCGUGGUGGGGGUUGGAAAGUUGCGGCGUGUGGGGGUGGAAUCGCGGCUUGUCGGCUUGUUGGUGGGGUAGUGGCUGAGCAAGGCGUUGCAGGGUAGCCGGGCUGAGAGGGUGACCGGCCACAUCGCGUCGGGGAUACGGCCCAGACCCCUAUGGGAGGCAGGAGUGGGGAGUAGGGCAUAAGGGGCGGAAGCCUGAUGCAGCAACGCCGCGUGGGGGAUGAGGGCCUGCGGGUUGUAUACCGCUUCCGUCUGUGACGAAGAGUGAGUGACGGUAAUGGGUAAAGAAGCACCGGCUAACUACGUG